rnacentral:rRNA from 1 species
AAAAAGUUUUAUUCUUGCUUAUUUAUUUACUUUGAGGAAGUGUUAUAUGCAAAUUAUUAUAUAUUUAUUUAUUCUGAAUGAUGAAUAUAUUAUAUAGCAGUAAUUAAUAUUAAUAAUUUAAGUAAUUUUGAGUUAGUUAUUCUCAUUAAAUAUAGAUUAAAUAUGUGCCAGCAGUCGCGGUUAUACAUAGUAUAUUAGUAAAUAUUUUUAGUUUUUGGUUAUUAUGAAUUAUUAAUUUAUUAGGAUUAUUUUUAGGUGAAAUUUAAUUUUUCUUUUUUUGAUUAAGUUAUAUAUAUAAGAAGCUAUGAAAUCUGUAUAUAAAGACUAGGAUUAGAUACCCUAUUAUUUUAGAUUUAAACUUUGAAAACUUGAGUAGUAUUAGUUAUGAUCUUGAAACUUAAAGAAUUUGGCGGUAUUUUAGUCUAUUUAGAGGAAUCUGUCCCGUUAUCGAUAAUCCACGUUGGACCUUACUUAGUUUUAUUAUUUGUAUACCGCCGUUUAUUUGAAUAUCUUAUAAGGGAAAUUUUCUUAAUAUUUAAUUUUGUAGUAUUUCAGGUCAAGGUGCAGUUAAUAAUUAAGUGGAGAUGGAUUACAAUAUAUUUAGAGAUGAAUUAUGAAUUGUAACAUUUGUAUGAAGGUGGAUUUAAUAGUAAUGUUAAGAAUAAUAAUUAAUAUGAUUAUAGCUCUAAAAUGUGCACACAUCGCCCGUCACUCUCGCUAUUAAGGUGAGAUAAGUCGUAACAGAGUAGGUGUACCGGAAGGUGUAGCUAGAUUGAU